GCACGGGCGUUACCGUGCAGGGUGAGAACCUGCAGCAGGUUCGACUGAAUCGCCCGGUGAUUCAGGCUGAUGCGUUAGCAUCACCCGGAGGGCGAGGCCCUGGAAGGGCCGAAAUCCUGCACGACCCACCA
rnacentral:sRNA from 2 species